rnacentral:rRNA from 1 species
CCUACGGGUGGCUGCAGUCGAGAAUCUUCGGCAAUGGGCGAAAGCCUGACCGAGCGACGCCGCGUGAGGGAUGAAGGCCUUCGGGUUGUAAACCUCUUUCGUAGUGGAGGAAGGGGCCGUGAAGAACGGUCUUUGACCUAUAUUAGGAAGAAGCUUGGGCUAAGUUCGUGCCAGCAGCCGCGGUAAGACGAACCAAGCGAACGUUAUUCGGAAUUACUGGGCUUAAAGCGCGUGUAGGCGGAUGGCCACGUCGGUUGUUGAAAUCCCCCGGCUUAACCGGGGAACAGGCACCGAUACGAGUUGUCUAGAGGUGGGUAGGGGAGACUGGAACUUCCGGUGGAGCGGUGAAAUGCGUUGAGAUCGGAAGGAACGCCUGCGGCGAAAGCGAGUCUCUGGCCCCAUACUGACGCUGAGACGCGAAAGCCAGGGGAGCAAACGGGAUUAGAUACCCCAGUAGUC